rnacentral:rRNA from 1 species
UACGUAGGGGGCAAGCGUUAUCCCGAUUUACUGGGUGUAAAGGGGGCGCAGACGGCGAUGCAAGCCAGGAGUGAAAGCCCGGGGCCCAACCCCGGGACUGCUCUUGGAACUGCGUGGCUGGAGUGCAGGAGGGGCAGGCGGAAUUCCUGGUGUAGCGGUGAAAUGCGUAGAUAUCAGGAGGAACACCGGUGGCGAAGGCGGCCUGCUGGACUGCAACUGACGUUGAGGCCCGAAAGCGUGGGGAGCAAACAGG